AUACCUUUCUUGACCUUUUGGCUAAGAUAAGUUGUAAUAUUUGUUCUUACUAGUUUAAUAUUUAAUAUAUAGAUCAUAUAUAUAGGUAUCAAAUAUGAUUGUAUUGUUGCAACGUACGACCAUUG
rnacentral:snRNA from 1 species